AGAACUUCCUGUUUUGAUUGUGUUUCUCUGUUACACGUCCAGCUCAGUUAUGUUUCAUAAUACUGUAUUGGACACGUUAUAGCCCCCGGUCAUACUGCAAUUCUUGCAGCCAGAUAAAUAAUAGAGAAGAUGAGGAGGAUUGUUUCGCAUCCGGACCUCUUAUGCUGAUGAAACUGAUCAUCAUCUGAGGAAAUACAGGAGAGGCCAUAAAGACAGUAUGAGAGCAGCGGCGUGUGGUGAUCACUGAGGAGAGCGACCCGGAGCCGCCGAAGCGGGACUGUGAUGAGGAGGGAGUGUGUGACCCUGUCGGGUUCAUGCUGUUCCUCAACCUGCUGAGCUGCUCGCUUUAAAGCGCUUCCUAAAGGGAUGGAUAUAGAGAUAUUUGGCAGAGAAAA